AGGCUAGAUUUGGAUUUAGAAGC
rnacentral:piRNA from 1 species